AUGGGGUAGAAUGAGGAAACAAGAGAUCAAAGCGAUUAAUUAAUAAUUUACUCCAGCAAUAUAUACCAAUUACAAUUCAAUUCUAGUCCUAUAAAUUCAAUUAAAGUUUCUUCUAAUGGACAGAAGAGGGCAAGUGGGGGGA
ensembl:ncRNA H03A11.7 ncRNA